UACGUAGGGGGCAAGCGUUGUCCGGAUUUAUUAGGCGUAAAGAGCGUGUAGGCGGUUUGGUAGGUCCGCUGUGAAAACUCGAGGCUCAACCUCGAGACGCCGGUGGAAACCAUCAGACUAGAGUCCGGAAGAGGAGAGUGGAAUUCCGUGGAUGUAGCGGUGAAAUGCGCAGAUAUCAGGAAGAACACCCGUGGCUAAGGCGGCUCUCUAGUACGGUACUGACGCUGAGACGCGAAAGCGUGGGAGCGAACAGG
rnacentral:rRNA from 1 species